UACGAAGGGGGCGAGCGUUGUUCGGAAUUACUGGGCGUAAAGGGCGCGCAGGCGGCCUUGGAAGUCAGAUGUGAAAGCCCCGGGCUCAACCUGGGAAUGGCAUUUGAUACUCUGAGGCUGGAGUACGGGAGAGGAGAGUGGAAUUCCCAGUGUAGAGGUGAAAUUCGUAGAUAUUGGGAAGAACACCGGUGGCGAAGGCGGCUCUCUGGACCGUAACUGACGCUGAGGCGCGAAAGCGUGGGGAGCAAACAGG
rnacentral:rRNA from 1 species